rnacentral:snoRNA from 1 species
UUGCAGUGAUGAGUAUAACUAGCUCACUUUGAAAUGCAUAUGAAAAGCGAAGAACUCCUGAGCAAA